CCAGUUUUGAUACAUGUCAUUCAUUUCGAUAAAACAGGGUAGUUAAACAAUGAAACUAGUAAGGCUUUCAGCUGAAUCUGUUUCAUGUUUACAAAACGAGCACUUACCUUAAAAUUAGCUGAUUUAAGCUAGACAUUAAGUUAAGCAAUUUUGAGGAUAUAACAAAAUUGGAGGAGAAAAGGAAUAAAAACUAACUAUCAUGGAGAAAGAGAAAAUUUACUGCGUCACUUGUAAGAAGAAGACUAAUACCCGUGAUGCCAUACCAUAUAAAGACCCUAAAACCGGAAGGAGAAUGCUGAAGGGGACUUGCACGGUGUGUGGGAAGAAAAAGUCCAUGUUUGUUUAAAUAUAAUCAACGGACAGACGUGUAGGAAGAGAAAUCCAUGUUUGUUUAAAUAUUGUCAGUGGACAGACCAUUAAAGUGAUUUCAAUAUUUUAUCUACAUUAUCGUGGACUUUUUGUUUGUUUCACCUUUUAUUGUUAUCUAACGUACUAUGACGUUAUAAUCUAUCAUUUUAGAUACAACUUUUAUGUGUAAGUUUGGAAAAUAAACAUAAAUUAUU